rnacentral:rRNA from 1 species
AUUGAAUGCUGGCGGCAGGCCUAACACAUGCAAGUCGAGCGAGCGGCGGACGGGAGAGUAAUGUCUGAGAACCUGCCUGAUGGAGGGGGAUAAAUACUGGAAAAGGUAGCUAAUACCGCCUACGAUCAGAUGUGCCAAGAUGGGAUGAGCUAGGAGGUGGGGUAACGGCUCACCUAGGCGACGCUCCCUAGCUGGUCGGAGAGGAUGACCAGACACACUGGAACUGAGACACGGUCCAGAGUCCUACGGUAGGCAGAAGUGGUGAAUAUUGCACAAUGGGCGCAAGCCUGAUGCAGCCAUGCCGCGUGGGUGAAGAAGGCCUUCGGGUUGUAAAGCACUUUCAGCGGGGAGGCGUUACCCGCAGAAGAAGCACCGGCUAACUCCGUGCCAGCAGCCGCGGUAAUAC